UACGGAGGGUGCAAGCGUUGUUCGGAAUCACUGGGCGUAAAGCGCGUGUAGGCGGCCACUUAAGUCUGAUGUGAAAGCCCUGGGCUCAACUCAGGAAGUGCAUUGGAUACUGGGUGGCUGGAGUACCGGAGAGGAGGGUGGAAUUCCUGGUGUAGCGGUGAAAUGCGUAGAUAUCGUAAGGAAGACCAGUGGCGAAGGCGGGUCUCUGGACAGUUCCUGACACUGAGACACGAAGGCCAGGGGAGCAAACGGG
rnacentral:rRNA from 1 species